AUUAUUAAUCCAUAUGAUUUAGGUGGGCAAUGUCCGUUUGAUUUAAGCGUUUCGUCGGUGCUUUGAAAAUGGAGUUUUGAUUUUAUUAAGGAAGCGGGAUGCGGUCUGCGUUUGAUCGGGAAAUACCUCCCGUGCCCUUCUCCGGACGGAGGAAGAAGAGCGAUCGAGCAAUAGGAACGGGCCGGUAACUAUGCGCUCAACAGCAUCAGCCACUUCCACGGCUGGCGACGAGGGCGGUGUCCGAGAGAGCAGGAAGAACGAGGCGUUGGAUUGGCUGGAAUGUGGAAGAGGCUGGCUAUGCUCCACGAGAAGGAAAAUCUAGGUUUAAGGUUCUCCUCGUCGACACACUCUAGUUCGGGUAGCGUAUUGCCGACGCCUAGAAAUAGAUAUCUUCGCCUAUUUGAUUGUUCCCUUCCUGUGGAGGUCGAAUCUCGAGCUCUGCGGCAUCCUUCGGCUGUAGCCAUCCCCAAAAGUUUUCCCACUUCACCAUCAGAAUUUACUGGCUAAAAUGGUUGAGCUCCUGUUCGAGGAUAUCUUCACGGUGACCAGAAUCGACCGUGAUGGCAAAAAAAUUCGAUAAAGGAUAUGGAGCCAAAGAAGCACCUGCAACCAUCUAGAGGAUCUUAUGCACAUCGUAAUCACGCCAAAUCGGCGUAGUUUUGCUGAUCCAAAGAUCUUUUCUCCUGAGCGCUCUGAAUAAUUAUGUUGGGUGAUGGCAUGGCUACACCACCAGACGGUUCCCUCCUGUUAUUGUUCUUAUGUUGAGAUUGGAGCGACGUAGUAAACUAUUCUCGCACGCAGUGUUUCUCGACAA